UACGUAGGGUGCAAGCGUUGUCCGGAAUUAUUGGGCGUAAAGAGCUCGUAGGCGGUCUGUCGCGUCGGCUGUGAAAACUCGGGGCUCAACCCCGAGCCUGCAGUCGAUACGGCAGACUAGAGUUCGGUAGGGGAGACUGGAAUUCCUGGUGUAGCGGUGAAAUGCGCAGAUAUCAGGAGGAACACCGGUGGCGAAGGCGGGUCUCUGGGCCGAAACUGACGCUGAGGAGCGAAAGCGUGGGGAGCGAACAGG
rnacentral:rRNA from 1 species